rnacentral:tRNA from 1 species
GGGAAUGUGGCUUAAUGGUAGAGCACUUGCCUAGCAUGCAUGAAACCCUGGAUUCAAUUCCCGAGUACCA